UUUCUUGGUUCAUUUAGAGGAAGUAAAAGUCGUAACAAGGUUUCCGUAGGUGAACCUGCGGAAGGAUCAUUACAGAGUUCGUGCCCGAAAGGGUAGACCUCCCACCCUUGUAUAUUAAUACUUUGUUGCUUUGGCGAGACGUCUUUGUGCCUCAAGCUUUCGAGCGUGAGAGUGCUCGCCAGAGAAUAUCAAAACUCUUUUUAUUAAUGUCGUCUGAGUACUAUAUAAUAGUUAAAACUUUCAACAACGGAUCUCUUGGUUCUGGCAUCGAUGAAGAACGCAGCGAAAUGCGAUAAGUAAUGUGAAUUGCAGAAUUCAGUGAAUCAUCGAAUCUUUGAACGCACAUUGCGCCCCUUGGUAUUCCGGGGGGCAUGCCUGUUCGAGCAUCAUUUCAACCCUCAAGCUCAGCUUGGUAUUGAGCCUAUGUCAGUAAUGGCAGGUUCUAAAAUCAGUGGCGGCGCCGCUGGGUCCUGAACGUAGUAAUAUCUCUCGUUACAGGUUCUCAGUGUGCUUCUGCCAAAACCUCAAUUUUCUAUGGUUGAUCUCGGAUCAGGUAGGGAUACCCGCUGAACUUAAGCAUAUCAAUAAGCCGGAGGAACCUU
rnacentral:sRNA from 1 species